rnacentral:rRNA from 1 species
UAAUUGAAGAGUUUGAUCAUGGCUCAGAUUGAACGCUGGCGGCAGGCCUAACACAUGCAAGUCGAGCGGCAGCGACAACAAAGAUUCUUCGGAUGAUUUGUUGGGCGGCGAGCGGCGGACGGGUGAGUAAUGGCUGGGAACCUGCCCUGACGUGGGGGAUAACAGUUGGAAACGACUGCUAAUACCGCAUGAUGUCUACGGACCAAAGAGGAGGACCUUCGGGCUUCUCGCGUCGGGAUGGGCCCAGUUGGGAUUAGCUAGUUGGUGAGGUAAUGGCUCACCAAGGCGACGAUCCCUAGCUGGUUUGAGAGGAUGAUCAGCCACACUGGAACUGAGACACGGUCCAGACUCCUACGGGAGGCAGCAGUGGGGAAUAUUGCACAAUGGGCGCAAGCCUGAUGCAGCCAUGCCGCGUGUGUGAAGAAGGCCUUCGGGUUGUAAAGCACUUUCAGCAGUGAGGAAGGGUAAUGAGUUAAUACCUCAUUAUCUUGACGUUAGCUGCAGAAGAAGCACCGGCUAACUCCGUGCCAGCAGCCGCGGUAAUACGGAGGGUGCGAGCGUUAAUCGGAAUUACUGGGCGUAAAGCGCAUGCAGGCGGUUUGUUAAGCAAGAUGUGAAAGCCCCGGGCUCAACCUGGGAACCGCAUUUUGAACUGGCAGGCUAGAGUCUUGUAGAGGGGGGUAGAAUUUCAGGUGUAGCGGUGAAAUGCGUAGAGAUCUGAAGGAAUACCGGUGGCGAAGGCGGCCCCCUGGACAAAGACUGACGCUCAGAUGCGAAAGCGUGGGGAGCAAACAGGAUUAGAUACCCUGGUAGUCCACGCUGUAAACGAUGUCUACUUGGAGGUUGCGGUCUUGAACUGUGGCUUUCGGAGCUAACGCGUUAAGUAGACCGCCUGGGGAGUACGGUCGCAAGAUUAAAACUCAAAUGAAUUGACGGGGGCCCGCACAAGCGGUGGAGCAUGUGGUUUAAUUCGAUGCAACGCGAAGAACCUUACCUACUCUUGACAUCCAGAGAAUUCGCUAGAGAUAGCUUAGUGCCUUCGGGAACUCUGAGACAGGUGCUGCAUGGCUGUCGUCAGCUCGUGUUGUGAAAUGUUGGGUUAAGUCCCGCAACGAGCGCAACCCUUAUCCUUGUUUGCCAGC